ACCCGACCGCCCGGCGAGACCUCCUCCCGUCCGUGCUGACGCACUUCCCCGGCGCCAGCACAGCCGGUGGGGGAUCUGGUCGGACGGUGGAGGGCCU
rfam:Cellulomonas sp. 73-145 SCNpilot_cont_500_bf_scaffold_28, whole genome shotgun sequence.